rnacentral:rRNA from 1 species
GUAGGUGGCAAGCGUUGUCCGGAAUUAUUGGGGCGUAAAGCGCGCGCAGGCGGUUCUUUAAGUCUGAUGUGAAAGCCCACGGGCUCAACCGUGGAGGGUCAUUGGAAACUGGAGAACUUGAGUACAGAAGAGGAAAGCGGAAUUCCACGUGUAGCGGUGAAAUGCGUAGAGAUGUGGAGGAACACCAGUGGCGAAGGCGGCUUUCUGGUCUGUAACUGACGCUGAGGCGCGAAAGCGUGGGGAGCAAACAGGAUUAGAUACCCUGGUAGUCCACGCCGUAAACGAUGAGUGCUAAGUGUUAGGGGGUUUCCGCCCCUUAGUGCUGCAGCUGACGCAUUAAGCACUCCGCCUGGGGAGUACGGCCGCAAAGGCUG